GAUGAAGAACGUAGCGAAAUGCGAUAAGUAGUGUGAAUUGCAGAAUUCCGUGAAUCAUCGAAUCUUUGAACGCACAUUGCGCCUUCUGGUAUUCCGGAAGGCAUGCCUGUUCGAGAGUCAUUAACAACCGUUUCGAUCCCUUUCUUUCAGAAAUUACAAAGAGGAAAAGGGUUUGGUUAUGGUGGAGGAGGGAAAGGGAGCGUUUAGCCUGUAAAAAAAGAGGCUGUGUUCCGCCUCCCCCCCAAAAUUGUACAGGCGGUCGUGUGCGCCCACGCAUCGAGGUGUUGUAAAAGCUGCCACGGCACUUUUCACCUGUGCAGUGCGAGAUUGGCCAGUCGGUUUAAAAACCCCUCCAAACAAUCAAAGGUUGACCUCGGAUCAGGUAGGGAUACCCGCUGAACUUAAGCAUAUCAAUAAGCGGAGGA
rnacentral:misc_RNA from 1 species